GGAUUCCCUCAUCUCAUUAAUGGGAAGAGAUCCUGCCGAUAGGAUCUGAUGCGUGAGCAGUCCCCUCUGUGUCAUCGGAAAGUCAAACCUCAGGGGUCUAAUGAUGGUGUUCGUGAGGAGGAUCCAGCAAUUUCGCGCCUGGCUGCGGCGAGGGGGCACCGAACGCGCGAUCGCCGCUUCCGGAUUAGCCGUUCUCUUGCUCGCCGUCUUUCUCACGGUGGGCUUGUGGAAGCGGGAGCGUCCCCUUUUCGGCCGGCGCGGAGGAGCUAUCGUCGAUCUCAUUCUCCUCGAGAACGCGGAGGAGAAGGGCGCACUGUGUUUAGAUGGAAGCCCUCCAGGGUACCAUCUCCAGAAGGGUUUUGGUUCUGGCUCAGAUAGCUGGCUUCUGCACUUGGAGGGUGGAGGUUGGUGCAAUAGUGUGGAAUCAUGCACUAAACGCACAAUGACACGAUAUGGCUCAUCUCGCUACAUGGAAUCUGAGGCCUUCGUUGGCAUUUUAAGCAAUAUCCAAUCAGAAAAUCCUGAUUUCUAUAAUUGGAACAAAGUAAAGGUACGUUAUUGUGAUGGUGCAUCUUUUGCGGGGAAGGGAAAAGAGAAGUCCAGGUAUGGGAAAUAGAAUGGAAAGAAGCUAUAUUUCAGAGGACAGCGUAUUUGGAAAGCAAUUAUGGAAGAUCUGUUACUCAAAGGCCUUGAAAAUGCUAGACAGGCCUUUCUUACCGGAUGCUCUGCUGGUGGUCUAGCAACUUUCAUACAUUGUGAUGAUUUUCGUGCACUUCUACCUGAGGAGGUCACUGUUAAGUGUCUGGCAGAUGCGGGGUUUUUUAUUGAUGAGGAGGAUAUUUCUGGGAACAGGACGAUAAGAUCUUUCUAUAAUGAUGUUGUUCGCCUCCAGAAUGUAGGAAAAAAUUUGCCAAAGGAGUGCAUCUCUAGGAUGGAAGCAUCCCAGUGUUUCUUUCCAGAGGAGAUAGUUAAGAACAUAAACACCCCACUUUUCAUUCUUAACUCAGCUUAUGACAGUUGGCAGGUACAACAUAUUUUGGCACCUGAAGAAUCUGAUCCUCAACAACUAUGGCUAAAAUGCAAGAUGGAUAUUCAUGAUUGUGAUUCCAGACAGCUUGAAGUCCUCCAAGGAUUCAGGAAUGCGUUACUUAAAGACUUGAAAGAAUUUCAGCAAAACAGUAACGGAGGCAUGCUUAUAAAUUCGUGCUUCAUACACUGUUACUCAAUGACCAGUAACACAUGGCACUCCCUAGACUCCCCGAAAGUUAACAAUAAGACAAUUGCAGAGGCUAUUGGAGACUGGUAUUUUAGAAGAAGGGAAGUUAAAGAUAUUGAUUGCCCAUAUCCAUGCAAUCCCACAUGUGUGGAACCUAAUUAGCAGUUCAUUGGAUAAGACCGAAGCAUGUUGGAGCAUUGUUUUCUAAAAUGCCUUGUACCAGCUCUUUGGGUGCUUAUUUGAUUUGUUCGAUGUGCCAUUGUAAUGGAAGAUCAAUACUACAUCAAAUUGAUUUUUUCUGUUGUUUGUUGUUUGUGAUAUUUAAUGUUAUUUUGGAGCUGUGAAAACUGUAUAAACUGGCAUGAUAUUUGAUGAUUGCUCAAGAAUUUUGUU